AUUGAACGCUGGCGGCAGGCCUAACACAUGCAAGUCGAACGGUAACAGGAAGAAGCUUGCUUCUUUGCUGACGAGUGGCGGACGGGUGAGUAAUGUCUGGGAAACUGCCUGAUGGAGGGGGAUAACUACUGGAAACGGUAGCUAAUACCGCAUAACGUCGCAAGACCAAAGAGGGGGACCUUCUGGCCUCUUGCCAUCGGAUGUGCCCAGAUGGGAUUAGCUAGUAGGUGGGGUAACGGCUCACCUAGGCGACGAUCCCUAGCUGGUCUGAGAGGAUGACCAGCCACACUGGAACUGAGACACGGUCCAGACUCCUACGGGAGGCAGCAGUGGGGAAUAUUGGACAAUGGGCGCAAGCCUGAUGCAGCCAUGCCGCGUGUAUGAAGAAGGCCUUCGGGUUGUAAAGUACUUUCAGCGGGGAGGAAGGGAGUAAAGUUAAUACCUUGGCUCAUUGACGUUACCCGAAGAAGAAGCACCGGCUAACUCCGUG
rnacentral:rRNA from 1 species